rnacentral:piRNA from 1 species
UGUAAUGCUUAUACAAUGGUUGACCUA